GGGGAUUUAGCUCAGUGGUAGAGCGCUUGCCUAGCAAGCGCGAGGCCCUGGGUUCGGUCCCCGGCUCCG
rfam:Rattus norvegicus chromosome X, whole genome shotgun sequence.